GAUGAAGAACGUAGCGAAAUGCGAUAAGUAGUGUGAAUUGCAGAAUUCAGUGAGUCAUCGAAUCUUUGAACGCACAUUGCGCCCCAUGGUAUUCCGUGGGGCAUGCCUGUUCGAGCGUCAUUUACCCCCUCAAGCUCCGCUUGGUGUUGGGCGUCUGUCCCGCUUCGCGCGCGGACUCGUCCCAAAGGUAUUGGCAGCGGUCGUGCCAGCUUCUCGCGCAGCACAUUGCGCUUCUCGAGGCACCGGUGGGCCCGCGUCCAUCAAGCUCACCCCCCCAGUUUGACCUCGGAUCAGGUAGGGAUACCCGCUGAACUUAAGCAUAUCAAUAAGCGGAGGA
rnacentral:misc_RNA from 1 species